rnacentral:rRNA from 1 species
AACGAACGUUAGCGGCGCGCUUAACACACGCAAGUCGAACGAGAAAGGGCUUCGGCCCCGGUACAGUGGCGCACGGGUGAGUAACACGUGGUAAUCUACCCUUGAGCGGGGGAUAACGUUCCGAAAGGAGCGCUAAUACCGCAUAAGACCACGCUCUCGAAAGGGAGCGAGGUAAAAGUAGGCCUCUGAAUUCACGCUUACACUCGAGGAUGAGCCCGCGGCCCAUCAUGGUAGUUGGUAGGGUAAUGGCCUACCAAGCCGAAGACGGGUAGCUGGUCUUAGAGGAUGAUCAGCCACACUGGAACUGAGACACGGUCCAGACUCCUACGGGAGGCAGCAGUGGGGAAUCUUGCGCAAUGGGCGAAAGCCUGACGCAGCGACGCCGCGUGGGUGAUGAAGGCCUUCGGGUCGUAAAGCUCUGUGGGGAGAGACGAAUAAGACGUGGCUAAUAUCCACGGCGAUGACGGUAUCUCCUUAGCAAGCACCGGCUAACUCUGUG